GUCCUUAGUUGCCAGCGGUUCGGCCGGGAACUCUAAGGAUACUGCCCUCGCAAGGGGGAGGAAGGUGAGGACGACGUCAAGUCAUCAUGGCCCUUACGCCUAGGGCUACACACGUGCUACAAUGGGAAGGACAGCAAGAAGCAAUACCGCGAGGUGGAGCAAAUCUCUAAACCUUCUCUCAGUUCGGAUUGUAGUCUGCAACUCGACUACAUGAAGCUGGAAUCGCUAGUAAUCGUAGAUCAGCAAUGCUACGGUGAAUACGUUCCCGGGUCUU
rnacentral:rRNA from 1 species